rnacentral:rRNA from 1 species
UACGAACCGUCCAAACGUUAUUCGGAAUCACUGGGCUUAAAGAGUCCGUAGGCGGCUGAGAAAGUAGGGUGUGAAAUCCCACGGCUUAACCGUGGAACUGCGCCCUAAACUUCUCAGCUUGAGGGAGCUAGAGGUAAGCGGAACUGAUGGUGGAGCGGUGAAAUGCGUUGAUAUCAUCAGGAACACCGGAGGCGAAGGCGGCUUACUGGGGCUUUUCUGACGCUGAGGGACGAAAGCUAGGGUAGCGAACGGG